AAUGGUCCAACAGAAGUUCUUCGACUGCUUGAAGGUUUGGAAGAAGGAUAAGCACCAUUCGACCGACCUCGCAACGAAGCGAUUCAGGGCUGCCACCCUCCCUGUAAGGCGCUGAACUUCUUUUAUCGACUUUGGGGCGGCCAUCUCCUAGAUGGCACGAAUCUUCUCUGGAUUGGCUUCAAUCCCGCACCCCGAUACCAUGA
rnacentral:lncRNA from 1 species